rnacentral:lncRNA from 1 species
GCUUCCCCGCCUCCCUCGCCUCGGUGCGCCCGCGCCCGCGCUCGCUCGGCCGCUGCUCGUCUCGGCUCCCCGCCUCGCCUCGCCUCGCCGCAACCGCCCGCCCUGGCCGCGCCUCCUCCCGCCCUCCGGGCCGGCGCUCCGCUUCCCCCUUCCUCCUGCGCCUCCGCCUCCUUCCACACAAAUACCAACUCCUCAACCCGAGCCCAGAUCUCGCCGCCGCCGCCACACUCUGCUCGGGCCCGGCCUCGCGAGACUUCCGCGCUGGCCUCAGCCCGCCCCGCCUCGCUGCCACUCGCCCGUUCGCCCUCUCGAUUCUCCUCUCGGCCAAUCGAUCUGUCCGCUGGCCUCCGCGGCCCCGCCCACUCGCCGGGCUCCUCCCGGAUUGGGGCCGAUGGGACCGGGGGCGGGGCGGCUCGCACGCGCCCUGGCUGGCCCGCGGCGCGUGACGUCAGCGCGCCGCCGCCGCCGCCACCGCCUCCCGCUUCCCGGUGUCGCGCGGCUGCCGCCCUUCGCGGUGCAACAGCCACAAAACCCGCCGCCUCGGGCCGGGGCCGCACUCGGGAACGGGGCGUCGCCGCUACAGCCGCUGCCUUGGGAGCCGAUGCAAAGCUUCCUAGAUGGAGAAUAGAACUGUUCCACUUCUGGCGUCUACCAGAAGUGGUAGAAGUGGCUUCUACCCAUGGCCUCCAAUAUAGAGUAGAAAUCUUCUGAUGCCUUGAGGAGAGGGAAAGAAUCUACCUUAGCUUGAGAAGUGAAUCCUGAUUGGUUGAACAACCAAGGCAAUCUUACUCCCUUCGGCCAGUGGUGGAUCUGCAGAGUUGGGGGAAUGCGACCCAGUUCUGGCCAGUGAAAUGUAAAGGGAAAUGUGUUACUAGAGAAGCUUCUCUUCCCUAAUAAAAAGAUAGAACUUCAGAAUACAGCCCUCCUUUUGCCUGCCUGAAAACCUGUGUGAUGGCCAGGGCGGCGGCCACCACCUAAAGAAAAGGCUAAGAGAAUUACAGUCAUUGGUCAGGCACUAUCAAUCAUGAACUCACUACCACUGGGCUGCACAUGUGAG